rnacentral:rRNA from 1 species
CACGUAGGGCGCAAGCGUUGUCCGGAAUUAUUGGGCGUAAAGAGCUCGUAGGCGGUCUGUCGCGUCUGCUGUGAAAACUCGGGGCUUAACCCCGAGCCUGCAGUGGAUACGGGCAGACUAGAGGUAGGUAGGGGAGAAUGGAAUUCCCGGUGUAGCGGUGAAAUGCGCAGAUAUCGUAAGGAAGACCAGUGGCGAAGGCGGGUCUCUGGACAGUUCCUGACGCUGAGGCACGAAGGCCAGGGGGAGCAAACGGG